CUUUGGAUUUCCAGUGUCGCCUUGUGGGUGCUGCCCCCCUUCCUAGCCAGGCGCCUCACCAAGGUGUGAAAUACCUGCUUUAAAGCUUUUUUGUUUCAUUUUUUUUUUUCCCCCGAAGCUUUAGCAUGAAGGGAGUGGUUACUCAUGGAUGCGCAUUGCAGGUGUUGCUUCAGCUCCUUCCUCUCGAUGGUUCUAAUGUUAAAACACUCAGCGUGCGCCUCCCGAUUCACUAUGUGCCUCACACACACCCUGUUACAACAAGGUCCCAAGAUGGCCGCCGCUGCCUGUCCGCCUCCUGCGGUUCGCUGUGACACACACGAGAUGACUUUGUUCUUUGGGUGCCUACUGCUAGACAGACGCAUCCUGUUGUGAUAAAGGAGACCAGCUGGAUUUAGGACUGCGGCGGCGUGUUUGCGGUACGACUGACCAUAUGUGAUUUUCUGUCACGUUUGCAGCUUUAACGGUAAAGCUCUGAAGAAUUUGCACUUUGAUUCGUGUCUUUCCACCCGCUUGGUAACAAAAUAAGAGGUGGCUUUGUGCAGCUGCUUUGCACUAACGCAGGUCACGCUGCGGGCUCUGGAAAGCACAGGGAGAGCUCUUGCAUGCUUGUCCUUAAGAUGCGUUCGGGGCUGAUUUUUUCUUUGCUCUGAUUUGUUUGGGGGCGCAUUUCCUUUUGUUGCGCUGUUGUCUUUUUGCUUGUUUUGUUUUGUUCUGAAGGAGGAAAUGACUGCGACCAGAAACUACAUUUCAUCAGGGACGUAAUUCUGAAUUCCUGCUCUGAGCGUGGGCUUUAUCUGGCUUCACCAGAACCGAAUAAUUCUGUUAAUUGGUAUUGUCUUCCUGCCUGCUCUGAGAAAUGCCCGUCUGAAGCCUCUGCAGAGUCUGAGAACAGAAGGGUAUCUGCUUGUGAGAGGAGCCUGACAGAAGGCAGAUAGAACUUGGAGUUUGGGGCCCGUUUUCCCUAAGAAGGAGCGCUUAUAUUUGUUGCUGUCCGCAGCUACGAUUUGGCCAUAAAGCAUACGGCAGAAAGGAACCGAAGGUACCUGCAGCAUUUGGCUGAAGGAAGGAACCAACGUUAAUAUUUGUCUUCAGUUUUUUGAAGGCAGAGGGGGGAGGAGCAGGAGCCUCUUCUCAGCCAGCGCCGCUGAGAAAUUACUGCAGCCUGAAGAGCAGUUUGCAUUUCUUGGUUGUCUGGACUUGAGAGGAGUGUGUGUAGGAGAAAAGGCCAGCAGUGGUCACAAGGAUGGAAAGGAAAAACAAAGAGUACAAUUCCUUUUUUGCUCUGUGGCUCGCAGCACCAGCCGGCACGAGAGAGCGCAGUGCUCGCUCUGCUGCUUCCUCAGCUGCUGAGGAAAUGGGACACGAGUGGAAAUGGCUUCAGUGUUCCCAUGGAACAGGGGAUGUGCAGAACGCGUUGGGCAUUACUCUCGGUGCGGCACAGUGUGCACAGCGCUGCGGCACGCAGGGAGGGACCUCUCAGCAUCUGGUCACCUUCAGCCAGCGUUGCCAAGUCACUGCUGCUCGGGAGCAGCCAGAGCACGGCUUUCACUUUCAGGCUCUUCCUUCCCCGUGCUG
ensembl:lncRNA